AUAGAGAACCCCUGCACACAAAGGAAACAGUUAUUAGUCACAGGUCAAGACUCAGGGGACACACAGCACAAGCUGAGCCACUUCUUUCCUGCUGCACUUAGGAACGUUCAGGACAAGCUUGGCAAGCAUGUAACAAGAGAUCUAGGUUUGGAAUUUCCAAGGAAUGCACUGUUUGGUUAUUGUAACUCAGCUUCUGAGGAGUCCAACCCAGCCACACGGGAGGUCACAUGCUGAAGAACCACCCCAUCUAAGCGCCCAUUUUACAGCUGGAACCACUGAGGUUAUGUGGAUGAGCCGUCUUGGGAGUGGUCUCCCCAGCCCCAGAGGACACAUCCAGGCUACAGCGGUCAUCAUCCUAUAGCUGAUAUUUGGCACCAUGCGGCAGGAUCCAUUCACACCGAUGGCAUGAAUAUAGAGAAGCAAUGAGGUCUAGGGCAGAAGCCAGUGUCUAUGGAUGAGAAAAUGAGAUGCAACCAACAAAGGAGACCCAGGAGGACCAGCCAGUGAGGUCAUAAGGAAGCUUGUGAGAUGGAAGAGAUGUCCAGGAAGCCAAGAGACGGGUGUGUCUUAAGGAUGGGACAUGGUCUACCAUGUGAUGUGUUGGCAGUCAAGAGAAGCAAGCACUGGUUAACCCAUGGAAUCAUCUGUGACCUGGACCCGAGUUCUGUGGAGUGGAGGGAUUGAAGGCAUCAAUGGAUGGGUCCAAGAGAAAUGACAGGAGAAGAACUGGAAACAGUGCUUUUAGAUAAUCCCUUUCUAGUCAUCUAGUCAUUUUGUCAACAUAGGCCAGUAGCUUGAGGGGGAAUGUGGCAUUAAAGCUGAAACAUGAGGUCAUCCAAUCUCGAAAUAGUCCCAAAUGAUUGCUGAAGACUGACAAGCAAGUCAGAUGAGACAUGGCUCGAAUGCCACCAGUAAUAAUAGAAAUAUUUUUAGAAGAUUCAGAUUUCUUCUCUUUUUUUUUUUUGGACCAAACAUUUUUGUGAUAUUCUCACAAUCUUAAUGGAAAAUUAUAACAAACAUAAAAAUCACACGGGAUCUUUCUUUUAGAAUUCUGCAAACACAACAACUUUUGGUUACACUGAUGAUUCUGGCAGCACAGGUAGGGCUGUUCCUCUGCAGAUGUUACUAACCCACCCUCGGCGAUGCUCUAGUUUUAUAAGGCAUGUUUUGUGUACGAGUUGGAUGUUACCUCUGUGACCUCGGUGGUAUGCUUGGCUGGAAUCAAAAGCAUCAAUUCCCAUUAGCGAUUUCCUACUGAUCGUAUCUAGUCUCCAAAAUCCAAAGAAAACUAAAAGUUUUCAAUGUUUACAGCAAGACCCAAGGAAACAUACUAGUGUUCAAUUAGAUGAGAGCCAUGACACGAAUGAAAAAAAAAAGUCAUGUUGGAGCUUUAAUUUUCCGUUGUUUUCUUUCUCUCUGCCAGAAUAGGUGUGACUCAGAUUCUUUAGUGAUACUUGCAAAUAUAAUAGAAAAGGAUGUCUCAAUUUAAGAAAAUUUAUAUAUCUGUGUGUAUAUGUACACACACACAUGCAUACACAAACACACACUUUCUCAUAAUAGAUAAACCAGAGAGUAAUGUUAAUAUGUGAAAGAAUUCACCAAGUAUAUCCUGUAAGUAGCAGUUAGUAUCAAAAUGCAUUUAAAAUCACAAUUGUAAAAUAAUCAACCAAGGGUCUUGGGAAUGUAAGUACAAUAAAAGGGAUAAACCAAUAAAUGUAAAGCUGAACUAUAAAGAUCCAUUAAUUAUUUUUAAAGCCCCAAAUCUCAAGUAUCUCAAAAUUAGUAUACCUUCCUUGCAAUUGCAAAACACAUGUAUAUCUGUUCUAUUCUGUUUACUUGAGAGUUAGGCUGACUUCUCUUUGAAUCCUUUUGUGUCAAUGAAUAUUAAGUAGGAACUCAGUCACACACAGCAGUAAAUUAAAAAAAAACCUGUCCAACUGAAUAGCAAAAUAUUGAUCAAGUGAAGAGCAAUUGCAUGUCAGGACCAAAUUUAUUAAUUAAAAUGAGUCCCCAUUUAAACACUAUAGUUGGAAUUUCAGCCCUAAUCUGACAUGCACAGUACAUUCUGAUAUCUUUGCUGACUUCAGGUCUGUGGAUAUUGUUUUUAAUAGGUGGUGCCUCUCUUACACGGUGAAUUGAGAGGAAAAAAAGAACAUAACACUGAGUCCUGUGUGUGCUGGGAGGCAUUUAGUACACCUUAUUCACAAGCGAGAAAAAGAAGACACGCACGAAGGACUGUGAGAAACAGAUUAUUUUAGGUACUUUGGGGGGAAAAAGAGUUACAAUUUGCCCAUAAAGAAUGGAGAGAACAGAAAUGUAGCUUUUAUGCUGAAAAACAAAAUGCAAGGGCAAUCCAGUUUCUAAUUCCUGUGCCAAAGCUGCUGUUCUUGAUGACCUCGGUCAAAUCAUUUAAAUUCUCUCAAUUUGUUCAUAUAAAAGUGCUAUUAACCUGCAGUUCCUCAAAUACUAUCCAAUCAAUGUUGGCUACUUGAUUUUCACUAAAUUUAAGAGAUAGAGCCUUAGAAAAGUGAUAGAGAACACCUUCAAAGUGUAAAAUCAAAGUUCUCCUUUCAGCACAGAGCAAUACAUAAAUAAAUGUUAUUGUAAAUGGGUAUCAUUACUGUUAAAACCCUGAGCCUCAUUACCCACCUGGUAAGCAACACAGGAAGCAGAAGGACAUACCAGGAAUCCACAGACAUGGACUGCAGUCAAGAUUUGCAGAAAAAUGUGUGUGACCUUGGGCAAGGUAUCUCUCUGUUUUCAAAACAGUUUUAUUAGGCAAAAUAAUGUACAAUAAAUUACAUAAAUGCCCAUCAAUCAAUGAAUGGAUAAAGAAACUGUGGUAUAGGCCAGGCAUGGUGACUCACACCUGUAAUCCCAGCACUUUGGGAGGCCAAGGCGGGCGGAUUGCCUGAGGUUGGGAGUUCGAGACCAGCCUGGCCAACAUGGUGAAACCCUGUCUCUACUAAAAAUACAAAAUUAGCUGGGCGUGGUGGCGGGUGCCUGUAAUUGCAGCUACUCAGGAGGCUGAGGCAGGAGAAUCGCUUGAACCCGGGAGGCGGAGGUUACAGUGAGUCAAGAUCACACCACUGUACUUCAGCCUGGGCGACAGAAUGAGACCCUGUCUCAAAAAAAAAAAAAAAAAGAAAAAAGAAAAAGAAAAGAAAAGAAAAGAAAUUGUGAUAUAUAUAUGAUGGAAUAUCACAUAAAAAGGAAGAAAUUAAUGGCAUUUGCAGCAACCUGGAUGGCACUGGAUACUAUUAUUCUAAGUGAAGUAACUCAGGAAUGGAAAACCAAACAUCGUAUGCUCUCACUCAUAAAUGGGAGCUGAGCUAUGAGGACUUAAAGGCAUAAGAAUGAUAGAGUGGACUCUGGGGACUCAGGGGAAAGGGUGGGAGAGGGGUGAGGGAAUAAAAGACUGCAAAUUGGGUUCAGUGAAAUGGCUCAGGUGAUGGGUGCACGAAAAUCUCACAAGUCACCAUUAAAGAACUUACUCAUGUAACCAAAUACUACCUGUUCCCCAGAAACCUAUGGAAAUAAAAAAUUUUAAAAAACUGCACACAUCUAAAGUGUACAAUUUGGUAAGUUUUGAUAUAUGGAUAUACUUAUGAAACGAUCACCAAAAUGAAGAUAAUGACUAUCUGCAUCACCCUAAAAUGUUCCUUUGGGCCAUUUGUAAUCCCUUCCUCCAGCCCCUGAGCAAUUACUGAUC
rnacentral:lncRNA from 1 species